GCGCGGCAGGACGGGAAGGCGGAAGCUGCGCCAUCAUGCUCGUUUUCGCGUGCGUUCGCGUCGCGCGCUGUGCGAAGUAAUUUUAAACGUGUGAUUAGUUUUGCGCGCGGGGUAGAAAAAGAUGUGGCCCAUGCUUUGUGUAUUACUCGUGCCCCACUUCAAAGCAAAGCGUUCGUACGCACUGGAAGAUGGAUCCACGAAGGCUGAAACGAGAAGUUGCAACGUGCCCGGUCGGUAGUACUGGCAUGAUGGAAACUUUCAGCGAGUGUUCCCGCCUGAAAGCCGAGUUUGGUUUCAAGCCACCCUGGACAACUGCUGUAUGAGGCGCCGUUUCUCGGGAGGACCAGUGGGAAGGCGCCAAGUCAUGCAGAUGGUAGCAGCAAUUUCACAAUGCCCAGCCUUGGCGCCCCCCAUCAAGAGCAAGCCACUUGCGUUCGCCUUCAGACAGAUGGUUAAUGUCUUCUUGAAAGCGGUUGAGAAGACAACAUUGAUGCAAGAUUCCAGCAAUGCCAUGCGCUGCAUUUAUUGGUCAAGAUGCUCAGAGAAUGGAGUCCCUGCACCUCGUGGUUAACCGUGAACAUUUCUUUUUCUUUUGGAAAGCUAAAGGCCAUUGCUGCAUCACUUGCAUUUUUGCAGCAUUUUUCUAAUUUUGAAUCAAUAUUGGCUGUUCAGUAUAAAAAAUGACGUACAGCGUGAAGGACAAGGACUGCGAGAGACACACUCCACUGACUUUCAACAAUAUUUUAUUGCGUUGCCACAUUGUGUGUGUAUACACAGAGGGGUCAUGCGCAGAAAAUGAAAGCCAGUCACAAGGGGUGUUCUAACAGCAAGUCAUUGUAAAAAGAACAUGGUCACUUGAAAAAAAAAAACAUCACAAUUUCUAUCUGUUUAGAUACAAAAUUUCACUAGGGGUCAGCGUGAUAGAGGGGGCACUAACGCACACACUACCCAGUUUUCUGGUGAAAUCAGCUUCAAUAAUUUACCGGGUGAGCUGUGUCUCGCUAAAACUUCCGUAUCUUAAAGAGGGGCAUGCAGCCGCAGUCCCGGCAAUGAAUGCCCAAGUGGCCUUGAACAGUGUUAUUGACGUUGUUAUAGUGCUCUCUUAAACGAUUAUUUAAGCGCCUGCCUAUCUGUCCAAUAUAUUUACUGCCUCAAAAUGGGAAUUUGGGAAACCACAUUCGUUGCACACAUCGCAAAACGUUUUCUGUGCCCGGCAGAGCAACAACUCUGACGUGAUUUAGGCGCGUUUACACACUUACAGAGCCUUGCCAGCUUUUCCGGGGCUGAGAAAAAGACUGUGAUUUCUGCAGGUUCCCUAAUCUUUUUUAGCCUAUGGGAGACAUCAUGAACAUACGGUAGCACUGCAAACCUGUGUCUUUCAACUGGCUGGUUCCUUGACCGAGCGCGCUCAUCAUGUUUUGUGCACUUCAGAAGCUGUUCCGCUAUGGCUGAAAUUAAAGCCAAAGGGUAGCCAACCCAAGAAAGGCAAUCAGCCUGUGCAGCAACGCUAUGUUGCAUCUCAUGUGAGCAAGAUUUAUUGAGGCUGUUAAGGAGGCAAAGCUUUACAAUAUCUCAUUUGACUUUGUUGGACAUACAGGCAGGCGCCUAAACAAUCAUUUAGGAGAGCACGAUAACAAAGUCCAUAACACUGUUCAAGGCCACUUCGGCAUCCAUUGCUGGGACUGCGGCUGCGUGCCUUUCUUUGAAGGUACGGAAGCUUUAGCGGGACACAGGUCAUCCGGGAAACUAUAGAAGCAGAUUUCACUAGAAAACCGGUUAGUGUGUGCGUUAGUGACCCCUUAUCGUGCUGUCCCCUAGUGAAGUCUUGUAUCUCAACAGAUAGAAAUUCUCAUGUUUAUUUUUUUCAAAGCACGAUGUUCUUAGUACAGUCACUUGCUUUUAGACACCCCUUGUGACUCAUAUUCUGCGCAUGCCCGCUUUUGUACAAAUACACAUGAUGUGGCAACGUAAUUAAAUAUUGUUGGAAGUCAGCGCAGUCUGUCAUCUCGCAGUUCUUGUCAUUCAAGCUGUACGUAAUUUUAUCUCAUUAAUUGCAAACUAUGCCAAGAAACUACCCUUGUUCAGUAUAAUUAUAAUGUUUGAUACGACCAUUUGCUGGCAAAUGUUAACAGUGUGAUAUUUAACUUGAACUUUUGCAUGACUGCCUAUGCCUGUGUUCUUUUAGUAACCAGAGUAUAGCUAAUUUAUUAAACCAUAUUUGCUAAUUUGCAUGCUCACAUGCUAUAGCAUGCCUUAAUCUUGAAUUACUGCAUCUAAGUGCAAAUAAUUUAGAAAUUUACUAUGUAUUUUAAAAGACUGUCCACAUUUUGUGCUCAGCAAAAUCGUUUAAUCAACAGCUGGUUUGUUCUUAUCAGGCCUCCUACUGCACUUUGCACCCAGGCACUAGUAGAUGUGGAAUAUGCACUCUUUUGAUUUAUACUAAGAAAAGAACCUAUUUUCAAACUGCAUAUUGUAUAUGUACCAGUGCCUUAGAGUUACAAAACAAAAAUUUAUAGAAACUGGUAUUGUAGUUAGAAAAACCGCUAUACAGCACCUUUAGCCCAGAGAACUCUCGUUUCACAAAAGAAUACAAACUAUGUAGGCACUAAAAAAUUCUACAUAUUUUUUGUGCUCAAGUAAUCUUGUUGGAAAUAGAAAAUUAGCAAUAAGGCUCCUGGCAUAAACCUCACUUAAAGCAUGUCUAUGCUUGGAAAGUAUUGUUUCAGUCUGAAAAAUGUUGGCCAGUUAAGCUUUACAUCGACUUUCCAAACUUUUCAUAAUGCUUUGCGAUUACAUUAGUGUACAAAAUAACAGGUGUCUUUCUUGUGCGUUUGCUCUGCAUUUCAAUUGCUUCCCUAAUUCACCUUUGCAAUAUGCCUUUUUUUAAGGCAUCAAAACUUGAAUUUUCGUUCACUGGAGCCUAAUACUAAAAAUUUAGUCCUUUAUGUGGCCCAAAACACUGCGAAUCAACCCAGGCUCUUUCAGUGCCGCUAUACAUAGUUUCUUCUCUAAUAACAGAUUUGAUCAAUACAUAUAUUUUAGGUACCUUUGUGGGGAAUGUACAUGUUCUUGUACUUACCGAUGUGUUUGGUGAUUGUGCAUGUUUAUAUUACAUGUGAUUUAUGUAUAUGUUGUACUCUGUAUUGCAGCAUGCAAUAAAUAUAUUUGCAUUUUCUUGA